UACGAAGGGGGCUAGCGUUGCUCGGAAUCACUGGGCGUAAAGGGUGCGUAGGCGGGUCUUAAGUCAGGCGUGAAAGGCCUGGGCUCAACCCGGGAAUUGCGCUUGAGACUGGGCUGGCUUGAGUGCGGGAGAGGAUGGUGGAAUUCCCAGUGUAGAGGUGAAAUUCGUAGAUAUUCGCAAGAACACCAGUGGCGAAGGCGGCUCACUGGCCCGGUAUGACGCUGAGGUGCGAAAGCGUGGGGAG
rnacentral:rRNA from 1 species